rnacentral:rRNA from 1 species
AGGCCUAACACAUGCAAGUCGAACGGUAACAGGGAGCUUGCUCCGCUGACGAGUGGCGAACGGGUGAGUAAUGUAUCGGAACGUACCAUUCAGUGGGGGAUAACGUAGCGAAAGUUACGCUAAUACCGCAUAUUCUGUGCGCAGGAAAGCAGGGGAUCGCAAGACCUUGCGCUGAUUGAGCGGCCGAUAUCAGAUUAGCUAGUUGGUGAGGUAAAAGCUCACCAAGGCGACGAUCUGUAGCGGGUCUGAGAGGAUGAUCCGCCACACUGGAACUGAGACACGGUCCAGACUCCUACGGGAGGCAGCAGUGGGGAAUUUUGGACAAUGGGGGCAACCCUGAUCCAGCCAUGCCGCGUGAGUNAAGAAGGCCUUCGGGUUGUAAAGCUCUUUCAGCCGGGAAGAAAAUGCAUGGGUUAAUACCCUGUGCAGAUGACGGUACCGGAAUAAGAAGCACCGGCUAACUACGUGCCAGCAGCCGCGGUAAUACGUAGGGUGCGAGCGUUAAUCGGAAUUACUGGGCGUAAAGCGUGCGCAGGCGGUUUUGUAAGACAGGCGUGAAAUCCCCGGGCUUAACCUGGGAACUGCGUUUGUGACUGCAAGACUAGAGUACGGCAGAGGGGGGUGGAAUUCCACGUGUAGCAGUGAAAUGCGUAGAGAUGUGGAGGAACACCAAUGGCGAAGGCAGCCCCCUGGGUCGAUACUGACGCUCAUGCACGAAAGCGUGGGUAGCAAACAGGAUUAGAUACCCUGGUAGUCCACGCCCUAAACGAUGUCAACUAGGUGUUGGGAGGGUAAAACCUUUUAGUACCGUAGCUAACGCGAGAAGUUGACCGCCUGGGGAGUACGGCCGCAAGGUUAAAACUCAAAGGAAUUGACGGGGACCGCACAAGCGGUGGAUGAUGUGGAUUAAUUCGAUGCAACGCGAAAAACCUUACCUACCCUUGACAUGUCAGGAACUUUCCAGAGAUGGAUUGGUGCCCGAAAGGGAGCCUGAACACAGGUGCUGCAUGGCUGUCGUCAGCUCGUGUCGUGAGAUGUUGGGUUAAGUCCCGCAACGAGCGCAACCCUUGUCGUUAAUUGCCAUCAUUUAGUUGGGCACUUUAACGAGACUGCCGGUGACAAACCGGAGGAAGGUGGGGAUGACGUCAAGUCCUCAUGGCCCUUAUGGGUAGGGCUUCACACGUCAUACAAUGGUCGGUACAAAGGGUCGCCAACCCGCGAGGGGGAGCCAAUCCCAUAAAGCCGAUCGUAGUCCGGAUUGUAGGCUGCAACUCGCCUGCAUGAAGUCGGAAUCGCUAGUAAUCGUGGAUCAGCAUGUCACGGUGAAUACGUUCCCGGGUCUUGUACACACCGCCCGUC